UAACAAGGACAGCCUGACUUGGAUCCCACUAGGCAGGAAGGAAGGCGACUCUUCCUCGCACCUCUUGCUACGAUUAGGACUUGCGGCUUGGUGAAAACAGGAAUCAAAACUUGGGCCUAUUUCUCCUGAGUUCUGCUUGCCUAGAACAAUUCGUAACAAUGAAUCUUAUUAAAAAGAGAAAGCCAUCCCCGACUUUAUCUUUUUCCGCCCAGAAUCCGAUAAGGAAGACUUGUUCUGGCCCCCUCAGCUCUCUGACCUCAUCUACCAGAGGAGUGAGUGGGAUCCUCUAACACUCCAGCCGUCAUCCCAGCACUAGGGGACAGUGACCAGUGUGGCUCCCGUGGCCAGAACCCUUCUGAAGUUUGGGUUGCCCUGUGGUCUUCGCCUUCAAAGCAGGCCGUCACUUGAAUCCUUCUGGAAUUUACAGAAAUCGUUCUGGAAUUUACAGAAUCCUUCUGGAAUUUACAGUGUUACUGUAAACGCUACGGAAUAGUAUCUUCUAAGUAUUAGUAGCUUCUUUCUUGAGGGAUCUCGGGAACGUUCCGUGUAUUAACCACUAACAUAUUCCAAAGUUAACUUCUUGGUAAAGUCACUGGGGAAAAAAAUAAUUGCUCCAGUUCCACAGGUGAUUGAAACAAACGUGAUUUGUUUCCCAAACUUCCUUGAUAGUAAAGAAUUACUUGGGGUACUAAUUAAAAAUAAAAAUAAUUGCGUCAUUUCCAACCUA
rnacentral:lncRNA from 1 species